AUUUCCUCCUCUCUGCAAUGUUUUGUUUGUGUUUAAAGAGAUUCCUAGAUUGAUUGGCAACAGGAAAUCGAGGCCAAGUCACACAUUUGUGGCAGACUCGUAAGAUGACAUUCGAUCCAGGAUACGGUAGCAGGCUGCCUACUUGAACUGCCACAGUCCACCUCAUGAAGAUAUUCCCACAGUAUUGUUGGAUACGGAGAUCCUGGAUAUCGACACAGUAACAGUCUAUUGAUCCAGCUCAUUUUUGCAAGCAUUGUUCAUUGUACCAGAUAAUGAAUUUCAGGCCUGAACCUACAGCAAAACCUCUUUACAAUAGAAUGUUGGAACACUCUCUGAUGGCAACAUCUUCAGCC